AGAGAGUUCUAGGUGAUCUGAUCAAUGGAACAGCCUGCUCAUGAAAUUAACGUGCACGUGGCUGAGCACUCCACAGACACGUGUACCCUUAACGUAGUUCUUAGGGAGAUUCAACAAGACAGGGAAUGUGACAAGUCUGACCCUUUAAAUUACAGGCCCAACAGAAACAGAAAGAA